AUGCGGGGGGUGGAGAAAGGUGGUAGUCGUCAUACGAUAGUUUUUAGUGCGGGACCGAGGAGGAAGCCGGUUGAAAACCUGGCCCAGAGGCAAGUGAACAAAAUACAUUUUCAUCCUAUGUGGAAGGAGCGAUCCGGCCAUGCCUGCGCAAAAAGCGGGUGCCGGAGGCUGGGGGACGCCAAUGAGAACCACAACCCGCAAGGUAGCUGCAGGCGCAGGAGGGACCGUUCGAGAGGUUGGUCGGUGGUUUUGACCUUGCGGAGGAGAGCAGGAGCCGUUCGGAAGAAAUGCCUUUCGCCGCCUCAGAAACAGCUGAGGGAGGUUAUUUACUUGAGCCACAACAGAAUAUUUUACUUCAUCUGCAUUAUUCAAUAAUGAAGCCAAG
rnacentral:lncRNA from 1 species